rnacentral:lncRNA from 1 species
UCACCACAAAUACUAUAAAUACUUUCAUUACUAUAUAGUCAAUUAUCUAAUACACUACCCAAUACUUUCUUGUUUAUUGCCAUUGUAUGCAUUUACACAUGACAAAGGAAAAACAUUACAUUAAGUGUCUUCACACUUCGAACUACUCCUUGGUCGACGCCUUUUGACCCAAAAAAAUAAAAGAAAAAACUAAACAUUAAACUUCAAACUCCUUGAUCAUCGCCAUUUGUGAUUGUUCAGGAACUUUGUCCCUGUUAUCAAGAGGAAAAAAUACAAGAUCAAAAUACAUCCAUCAAAGAAAAAAAAUUCCAACAAGAUGAACUAUUUAGUUACAUGGACGCUACAGUUAUAAGUUAAAAGACACUUUUGCAUCUUCACAUAAAUAAUAUCAUAAAUAGUUUUGCAUUCUCAAAGUGGCAGUAGAAUAAAACCCCAGUUUCUCUCGGUCAUUUUAUCAAACACUUCAUAGCCUCGUUCAAACACCGAUUCACAUGAACAGACACGUAAUAUUACAAGCCAACAACCAAGUUGUUCAAGUAGAAGACUUGUUUAGACUGAGAUGCCAACACAAAUGGCUCAUUUGUAUUCAAGGCAAGAGUAUUCAUACUUGUGAAGCUAUAUUUGUCAAUCUUAUUUUCUCGUCCUAGUGAGCCACAUCCUACCAGUGACUCUUGAC